AGAGUUUGAUCCUGGCUCAGGAUGAACGCUGGCGGCGUGCUUAACACAUGCAAGUCGAACGAAGCACCUUGAUUUGAUUCUUCGGAUGAAGAUCCUGGUGACUGAGUGGCGGACGGGUGAGUAACGCGUGGGUAACCUGCCUCAUACAGGGGGAUAACAGUUAGAAAUGACUGCUAAUACCGCAUAAGACCACAGCACCGCAUGGUGCAGGGGUAAAAACUCCGGUGGUAUGAGAUGGACCCGCGUCUGAUUAGCUAGUUGGUGGGGUAACGGCCUACCAAGGCGACGAUCAGUAGCCGACCUGAGAGGGUGACCGGCCACAUUGGGACUGAGACACGGCCCAAACUCCUACGGGAGGCAGCAGUGGGGAAUAUUGCACAAUGGGGGAAACCCUGAUGCAGCGACGCCGCGUGAGCGAAGAAGUAUUUCGGUAUGUAAAGCUCUAUCAGCAGGGAAGAAAAUGACGGUACCUGACUAAGAAGCACCGGCUAAAUACGUGCCAGCAGCCGCGGUAAUACGUAUGGUGCAAGCGUUAUCCGGAUUUACUGGGUGUAAAGGGAGCGUAGACGGAGUGGCAAGUCUGAUGUGAAAACCCGGGGCUCAACCCCGGGACUGCAUUGGAAACUGUCAAUCUGGAGUACCGGAGAGGUAAGCGGAAUUCCUAGUGUAGCGGUGAAAUGCGUAGAUAUUAGGAGGAACACCAGUGGCGAAGGCGGCUUACUGGACGGUAACUGACGUUGAGGCUCGAAAGCGUGGGGAGCAAACAGGAUUAGAUACCCUGGUAGUCCACGCCGUAAACGAUGAUUACUAGGUGUGGGGGGACUGACCCCUUCCGUGCCGGAGUUAACACAAUAAGUAAUCCACCUGGGGAGUACGACCGCAAGGUUGAAACUCAAAGGAAUUGACGGGGGCCCGCACAA
rnacentral:rRNA from 1 species